GCUCUGCAUCUCCUUACCCUGGGCCUAGCUUCCCCCAGGAAAUGGGAAGCUAGAAGUCGCUGAGUCUGGGGGUGUUGGGAGAAGGGGGCGGUGAUUUCCACAGGGGUCACCUCUUUCUUAACCUCACAGGCGUCCGACCUGUGGAAAUCUAACAAGCAUAGGGGAAAGCAAAGGCAGCAUCUUAGCCCUCCCGGAGCCGGUGCCGGCCCGCGAGCCCCAGCGUCUCUGCAGACCGGUCCCCUCCCGGGUCCGGCGGGGCCCGUGCGGUGGGAGGAGUCGCGCACUGGCCGGCGACUAACUGGGGUCCGACUGCUGACCAAGAUAGGAGGGACCCGGACCACGGAGACAGAGACCCCGGCAUCACGACCCCCGAGGACCUCCUCUCCUCGCCCUGUGGCACCCACUAGUCCUGGACACUCAGCCGCGGAGAGCCCCCGACCCCGUGCUCCCAGCCCCGGGGGAGCCCGCCUCCGCCCCGCGGCCCGCCCGGGCCAUGCUCCCCCGGGGCAGCGGCUGAGCCCCAGCCGGGACCGGGACCGGAGCCCGCGCGGAGCAUGGAUCCGGGCUGGGG
rnacentral:sRNA from 1 species